rnacentral:rRNA from 1 species
UACGUAGGUGGCAAGCGUUGUCCGGAAUUACUGGGUGUAAAGGGAGCGCAGGCGGGAAGCCAAGUCAGCUGUGAAAGCUACGGGCUUAACUUGUAGACUGCAGUUGAAACUGGUUUUCUUGAGUGAAGUAGAGGUUGGCGGAAUUCCGAGUGUAGCGGUGAAAUGCGUAGAUAUUCGGAGGAACACCGGUGGCGAAGGCGGCCAACUGGGCUUUAACUGACGCUGAGGCUCGAAAGUGUGGGGAGCAAACAGG